rnacentral:rRNA from 1 species
AUUGAACGCUGGCGGCAGGCCUAACACAUGCAAGUCGAGCGAGCGGCGGACGGGUGAGUAAUGUAUGGGGACUGCCCGAUAGAGGGGGAUAACUACUGGAAACGGUGGCUAAUACCGCAUACUAUCGGAUAACCCAUAUGGGAUUAGCUAGUAGGUGGGGUAAAGGCUCACCUAGGCGACGAUCUCUAGCUGGUAUGAGAGGAUGAUGAGGCACACUGGGACUGAGACCAGGCCCAGACUCCUACGGAGGCAGCAGUGGGGAAUAUUGAACAAUGGGCGCAAGCCUGAUGCAGCCAUGACGCGUGUAUUAAGAAGGAAUUAGGGUUGUAGAGUACUUUCAGCGGGGAGGCGUUACACGCAGAAGAAGCACCGGCUAACUCCGUGCCAGCAGCCGCGGUAAUUC